UACGUAGGGUGCGAGCGUUGUCCGGAAUUACUGGGCGUAAAGAGCUCGUAGGUGGUUUGUCGCGUUGUUCGUGAAAACCGGGGGCUUAACCCUCGGCGUGCGGGCGAUACGGGCAGACUUGAGUACUGCAGGGGAGGACUGGAAUUCCUGGUGUAGCGGUGGAAUGCGCAGAUAUCAGGAGGAACACCGGUGGCGAAGGCGGGUCUCUGGGCAGUAACUGACGCUGAGGAGCGAAAGCGUGGGGAGCGAACAGG
rnacentral:rRNA from 1 species